CCUACGGGGAGCAGCAGUGAGGAAUAUUGGUCAAUGGACGAGAGUCUGAACCAGCCAAGUAGCGUGAAGGAUGACUGCCCUAUGGGUUGUAAACUUCUUUUAUAUAGGAAUAAAAUGUUCCACGUGUGGGAUUUUGUAUGUACCAUAUGAAUAAGGAUCGGCUAACUCCGUGCCAGCAGCCGCGGUAAUACGGAGGAUCCGAGCGUUAUCCGGAUUUAUUGGGUGUAAAGGGAGCGUAGGUGGAUUGUUAAGUCAGUUGUGAAAGUUUGCGGCUCAACCGUAAAAUUGCAGUUGAAACUGGCAGUCUUGAGUACAGUAGAGGUGGGCGGAAUUCGUGGUGUAGCGGUGAAAUGCUUAGAUAUCACGAAGAACUCCGAUUGCGAAGGCAGUUCACUGGACUGCAACUGACACUGAGGCUCGAAAGUGUGGGUAUCAAACAGGAUUAGAUACCCCUGUAGUC
rnacentral:rRNA from 1 species